AAUAUGUGGACCACUGGGUCCUACGGGCCAUCCGUGGGGUAGCAGGACUGGAAUCCAACUUUGUUGCCUACAGGGGUCACCUGAGACCUUCUACUCUUCUUCUGGAGGGAGGCAUGACAAGAAGCAACCUCGAGCGUCGUUCGGAAGGAAAUCCCAACUCCUGUGCUGAAAGGGACCCUGCAGCUGGGCUCUCACGACACAUGAGACAGCCAAGAGGCAUGCUGAGUCGCGGCCCAAGAGGGGCAGUUAGAGCAGAGGGUAAAAGGCACCGGGUAGAAGAGCAACGAAAUAAGAAAGGGUGGCGGGAGGGAAGGGAGCCAGCUGGGGUGGAAAGGAGGAAGCCUGUGCACCUGUACACAAACACCAUGCACGACCGGCCCCGUUCUGCGUUCACACCGGAAUCCUUAACAUUCUGCUUCACCAAAAUAAAAUGACCACACGGGUGAUGGCA